rnacentral:rRNA from 1 species
UACGUAGGGGGCAAGCGUUUGUCCGGAAUCAUUGGGCGUAAAGCGCGUGUAGGCGGCUCGGUAAGUCUGCUGUGAAAGUCCAGGGCUCAACCCUGGAAUGCCGGUGGAAACUGUCGGGCUAGAGUCCGGAAGAGGCGAGUGGAAUUCCUGGGUGUAGCGGUGAAAUGCGCAGAUAUCAGGAGGAACACCAAUGGCGAAGGCAGCUCGCUGGGACGGUACUGACGCUGAGACGCGAAAAGCGUGGGGGAGCAAAACAGG